GACGAACGCUGGCGGCGUGCUUAACACAUGCAAGUCGAACGGAAAGGCCCUGCUUUUGUGGGGUGCUCGAGUGGCGAACGGGUGAGUAACACGUGAGUAACCUGACCUUGACUUUGGGAUAACUUCAGGAAACUGGGGCUAAUACCGGAUAGGAGCUCCUGCUGCAUGGUGGGGGUUGGAAAGUUUCGGCGGUUGGGGAUGGACUCGCGGCUUAUCAGCUUGUGGGUGGGGUAGUGGCUUACCAAGGCUUUGACGGGUAGCCGGCCUGAGAGGGUGACCGGCCACAUUGGGACUGAGAUACGGCCCAGACUCCUACGGGAGGCAGCAGUGGGGAAUAUUGCACAAUGGGCGGAAGCCUGAUGCAGCAACGCCGCGUGCGGGAUGACGGCCUUCGGGUUGUAAUCCGCUUUCGCCUGUGACGAAGCGUGAGUGACGGUAAUGGGUAAAGAGGCACCGGCUAACUACGUG
rnacentral:rRNA from 1 species